UACAGAGGGGGCAAGCGUUGUUCGGAAUUACUGGGCGUAAAGCGUGCGCAGGCGGUUAUGCAAGACAGAUGUGAAAUCCCCGGGCUCAACCUGGGAACUGCAUUUGUGACUGCAUGGCUAGAGUGCGGCAGAGGGGGAUGGAAUUCCGCGUGUAGCAGUGAAAUGCGUGAGAUAUGCGGAGGAACACCGAUGGCGAAGGCAAUCCCCUGGGCCUGCACUGACGCUCAUGCACGAAAGCGUGGGGAGCAAACAGG
rnacentral:rRNA from 1 species